rnacentral:rRNA from 1 species
UACAGAGGUCUCAAGCGUUGUUCGGAUUCAUUGGGCGUAAAGGGUGCGUAGGCGGCGCGGUAAGUCGGGUGUGAAAUCUCGGAGCUCAACUCCGAAAUGGCAUUGGAAACUACCCUGCUAGAGGGUCGGAGGGGGGACUGGAAUACUUGGUGUAGCAGUGAAAUGCGUAGAUAUCAAGUGGAACACCAGUGGCGAAGGCGAGUCCCUGGACGACUCCUGACACUGAGGCACGAAAGCUAGGGGAGCAAACAGG